CACGUAGGGCGCAAGCGUUGUCCGGAAUUAUUGGGCGUAAAGAGCUCGUAGGCGGUCUGUUGCGUCCGCUGUGAAAACUCGGGGCUUAACCCCGAGCCUGCAGUGGAUACGGGCAGACUAGAGGUAGGUAGGGGAGAAUGGAAUUCCCGGUGUAGCGGUGAAAUGCGCAGAUAUCGGGAGGAACACCGGUGGCGAAGGCGGUUCUCUGGGCCUUACCUGACGCUGAGGAGCGAAAGCGUGGGGAGCGAACAGGAU
rnacentral:rRNA from 1 species